CUUUGAAACAGAUCUUUCAACAUAUUUCAAGUUACAUGUGAUUAUAUUUCACACAAAAUAGUAUAGUUUAACAACUCGGAGAUAGUCCUUAGAAAGCAGGAGAAAUUUAUUGUUAUUAGACACUUUAAUGGCAAAAUAAAAUAGUUCCUCUCAAUAAUUAAUUUUAAUCCCACAGUUGAGAUGCUUUUCUUAAUUUUUUUCUCUUUAUCAACAAAUUAAAGAAUUGGAAGCUACUCAUCAAGUUAGUUUUGUAUUUUCCUCUCCUUAUUCUUUCAAUCUUUGUGUGGAAUAGAUUAUGAAAUUCAAUUACUUACUCUUGCAGGAUUCAAUUGCAAGAACUACAGAGUGAAGCAAAACGGCCAUUGUAAAGAAUACUUCCCAUAUGCCAUCAAUUACUAAAUGACGCGGUCUAUACAAAGAAAAGGACAAAUCACAUACUUAAACACAAAUUCUGGAGGUAUAUUGGUUCAAUGAUAACGGUGGAAGCCUAUAUGGAAUACAGAGUAUUACGAAUUGAUUAUAGUAGAGUUGGAGUCUAAUGGGUAAAAUUACUCAUUAUAUGCUUAUCUUUUUCCUGUAGUAACAUGUUUGGUGAAGUCACCGGUAACGCCUCAGCCGUAGGUUACAUCCUCGGAUUAUCUCACGACUACGUGAGAUUGAUACCGAGGUGUGCAAAAUUUUAUGUAAAGUUUCUAAAUCUUUUCUCUUUAAACUUUAUGUCAACUAUUUCUAAAUCUUUGCUCUUUAAACUUUCUGUUUUUCUACUACUUUGUUAGUUUUUUCAUCUAUUUCUUGCUUCAUUUCCUCUAUUUCAUUCUUCUUAUUGAGUAUCAACCUAUUUUUGUUAAAUUAUGCAUUAGCCUUAGUUAGCAUAACUCCAAAAUAUAUGCUUAUAGAAUAUUUGUUUCUUUAUUUUCAUAUUCAGA